rnacentral:lncRNA from 1 species
CUAUUGUGUUGUUGUAUGAGAAGAGGGAUUUUCUAUUUAUAGAAGUUCAAAAUCAUUCCUUCAAGAAAGAGGUUUACCAAAUAUAAAAAAGUUUUAUAUUUUUUUUUUAGAAAAAUAAAAGUAAUUAUGGUAUUACUUUUAUUUUCCUUCUAAGAAAAAUAAAACUUAAAUUUGGUAAGAAAAUCAGGACAAAAAUCCUAACAAAUCUCCCCUUUUUGGCUUGAUUUUCUUGACGGCAUAUUCUUGAUCCUCCUUCACACAAUCUUCAUAUAUCACUGUUGCUUACCAUGAUUAAAAGUUGAUAUUUAUUAAAAAUUAGAGCCCUAUGCAUUGAAAAUAAAAGCAUGGGUUCAUAUUAUUGGCGCCUCGUGUUAUAAGUAACAGGGUUGAAAGUGGAGCCUUGUGCAUUGAAAGAAAGUACAGGUUAAAAGUGGAGCUCAUGCGUUAAAAGUAAAUGCAUGAGUUGAAAGGAGUCCAAGCGUAAAAUCAAGUAUGGGUUGAAAAUUCAAGCCCAUAAACAUGGGUUGAAAAUUGAUUUUGAUUUUAAAGAUGGACUAGCAGCAGGAUCGUUGAAAAUUUAUUUGAAUCUUUUUCUCCACAUGUAGUCUUUUUUGGACAUAUAUCUUCAUUAUCAUCAAAUUGGUUGCAACUUUGAUCUCAACAUAUCCUCAAUCUGAACCAUAGGAUCAUUGAAUUAUAGACUCUGAUACCACUUGCUAGGUUUGAAAUCGAGAGGGCGUCAUGCGGAAGCUUAAAGUUUGCAAACCUUGAGACAAUAAAUUAGACGACAAAGAAAACAAUACUAAAAAGUAUAAAAUUAUUAUAUGUUUUGGCCAAUCGGCCUACAUAUUAUAAAACCUAAUAUCGAAAAACAUUAAACCUAUUAGGAGAAAUCUCCCCCUAAACAAACUCUUUAAUGACUACAUUGUGGAU